rnacentral:rRNA from 1 species
GACGAACGCUGGCGGCGUGCUUAACACAUGCAAGUCGAACGGAAAGGCCCUGCUUUUGUGGGGUGCUCGAGUGGCGAACGGGUGAGUAACACGUGAGUAACCUGCCCUUGACUUUGGGAUAACUUCAGGAAACUGGGGCUAAUACCGGAUAGGAGCUCCUGCUGCAUGGUGGGGGUUGGAAAGUUUCGGCGGUUGGGGAUGGACUCGCGGCUUAUCAGCUUGUUGGUGGGGUAGUGGCUUACCAAGGCUUUGACGGGUAGCCGGCCUGAGAGGGUGACCGGCAACAUGGGAAUGGGGAUACGGCCAGGACUCCUACGGGAGGCAGAGGUGGGAAUAUUGCACAAUGGGCGGAAGCCUGAUGCAGCAACGCCGCGUGCGGGAUGACGGCCUUCGGGUUGUAAACCGCUUUCGCCUGUGACGAAGCGUGAGUGACGGUAAUGGGUAAAGAAGCACCGGCUAACUACGUG